AUGGCAGACAUUGGAUGAAUUUCAAAUAUCUUCAGCUGUGAGUGAUGAAGAAAAACAAAUCGGCCUCGGGGAAAAUUAUUUGAAUAGUUCAAUUGAUAUUUUACGCACAAAAGUGAAGACCAAAAUGUCUUAUUAGGAAUUUCCAAAUAUGCCUUCUCCAUGUGGCCUUGUAUGGAAAUGGUAUUUUUGGACCGGGCGUCAGAUAAACUGCAGUACCGAAGCAAAACUAUAGGACCGGAACCCUGGCCCCUUACCAUAGGAAUGCAAGACAGGGGAAAACAACAGCAAGCCGAAAAUGAUCCGCUGGAGUCCUGUUUUGCACCGGGGGGGAGAGCUGUGAUGGCAUCUGUUAUGCAGAUAAUGACAACAACAGUAGCUGUACAUGAUGUAAUGAAAAGUUGGAAGGUGGUUGGUAAUGGAGAACAUCAGGUGGAUCCACGUCUGGGUGUUGGGCAGAACCCCUAGCUCAUGGAGAACAGGAGCAGAGUUAAAGGGAACAGGGUAUAGCCUACCUCAAGCUGGCCCCCCUCAGACUCAGAUCACAGAGAAUCAGACUGAUCCAAACUCACUGGUUCUGGUGGAUGGGUUACCUCCUGGGGGGCUCGGACAGUCGAUGGUCCUAAAGUCAUUUGGAGAAGUAAAUUGAAGAGUGUAGGGCGUCAGUGCUUCCAGUGGUCGACCGUCCAACUGCUCCAACUGUAGAAGAUUGUUGACUUCCACCAAGAUGGUGUCCUCAGCUAGGAGAGAAAAAGCAGCGAGAUUUCCCAGGCCUCGCCUUCCUUUCGUCCUUCUUCCAAACCAUGAAUUCGCUUGGAUGUCGUAGCACUUGGUCCCCUUCUUGACUCUGCUCCGGGAUCUUCUAGCUUGGAUGGAAGAUUGGAGGAGGGAACAAAUGGGAGUACAGUAGUUCUCCAGCCUGCUGACUAAGAAAUGUAAAUAGUCUGUAUUUUGCUGUCUAUAUCUCUCCGAAUGUCAGCCUGACUGCCAGAUUGCUGAGGGGCAACAUAGUCAAUGUCCUUGCUAUGCUAAGUCUGACUUAGUGAAGACCUUAGGUAAUGGUUAAUCAUGAUUUGUUUCUUUCCUUACAGUUCUUGAAACAUGCCAAUGACCUCUAUAGCAAGUACUUGGCCAAGUUACCAGUGACCUAUUCCGCCACAUCACAGGGAAAGGAGAGAGCAGAACCACCCCUCCUUAAAUCCAUAGUCAUUGACUAAGUUUAGUGUGCAAAAGUGUAGUUUUUUUUCCGUUUGAUCCUCUUAUCUUCAAUGUGUAUUGAAUCCUAACCAGCUUUGUAAGAGCUAGGUUUGUACAGCUAUGCUGAUGAUCAUUAAUGUUUUUUCUCUGCAUCAGGUCUCACUGAGACUGGAUUCCUCAAGAUACGUGAUAUUCAGCUGCCCAUGAUUGCCUGAUCUUACACUCUUAGCCCCUUUCUUGCUAUCUAGAACCUAAAAAGGUUAAUCCGCUGUCCACUCUUUUUUGGUUCCAUGUAGAACCCUUUUGGGUCCGGGUAGAACUAUGGGGACAGCCGAAGAACCAUUUUGGAACCAUUUCUUCUAAGAGUGUAGUGUAACUUGAUCCAAUUGAAGCAGCACCACUUUAAAUAAUAUACGUUUGCAAAGCAAAUUAAAUCCUUUUUUAACUCGCCUUUCUUUUCAGGUUCAAACCCAUUCCACAGACACCUCCCUUGGUGAAUAAUGCGAAGUUUCUCCCAUUUCUCUCUUGCUCAUUCUCCAUGUCCCUCACUCAACCACAUGUGCAGUUGCAGAGAAGAGGAAGUGAUUUGAUAAAAACACAGUUUUCUAACAAUGUUUGUUGAAGGAAUGAUAUGACAGACAACUGUUAAAAAUAUGUCAUUUUAUUGUCUAUUUAUUGCCUCUUUACACAUACUUACAUUUUUGCUAUUACUUUUCUUUUAAGAAAAGAACCUCUGUCCGGGUCAAUCUCCUCAGGAUUAUGGAUGGUGCUGAUUAUAAAAAAUGUUGUUUGAAUAUUACCACAUUUACAGUGCCCUGCGAAAGUAUUCGGCCCCCUUGGAACUUUUGCCACAUUUCAGGCUUCAAACAUAAAUAUAUAAACUGUGUUUUUUUGUGAAGAAUCAACAACAAGUGGGACACAAUCAUGAAGUGGAACGACAUUUAUUGGAUAUUUCAAACUUUUUUAACAAAUCAAAAACUGAAAAAUUGGGCGUGCAAAAUUAUUCAGCCCCUUUACUUUCAGUGCAGCAAACUCUCUCCAGAAAUUCAGUGAGGAUCUCUGAAUGAUCCAAUGUUGACCUAAAUGACUAAUGAUGAUAAAUACAAUCCACCUGUGUGUAAUCAAGUCUCCGUAUAAAUGCACCUGCACUGUGAUAGUCUCAGAGGUCCGUUAAAAGCGCAGAGAGCAUCAUGAAGAACAAGGAACACAC